GGAAAAGUAUGUUCUCUUUCUUCUGAAGCUAUUAAGCCAGUAGGAUAUAAGCCUGGAACUACAGGGAAAGCCCUCUGGAGAACGAAGCCAACUCAGCAGAAAGCAGAGAGUAGAAGAUUGCACUUGGAUCCAGCUUUGCCUGAAGCCUGAUGCCGGUACAUUCUCUUACUGGCUUAAGUUGUUCUGAGAUCACAGUGAGAUCAUGCAUCUGAAAGGGCUUCACAAAGACCCAAGCAAACACGCUGUGACACGGGACAGGCUUCAGUGAUGGAGAGAGAUCCACAUAAUGCUGGGAGAAAGGACAGAACCAAGAGUUGUGCAUGGCCUGAGCUCUGAGGUCACGUGAGUCACGGAAGGUCGAUAGCAGCAUCCUCCAGAACUGCGAGCAAUGCAGGGUCACUAGAUUGGACGAGGCCGUCUGUCGUCGGAAGUCGAGGCGCCAGAGAAUUCCGAGGGGCACACCUUCCCUGCGCGGUGUCUCGGGACAGCUUGCAGCGGACAAUAAAUAAAUGACUGCAAACCA